rfam:Triticum aestivum genome assembly, contig: Triticum_aestivum_CS42_TGACv1_scaffold_432958_5DL
CUACUACUCCCCAGUUCAGAAAUACUUGUCAUUAAAAUGGAUAAAAAAGAUGUAUCUAGAUGUAUUUUAAUUCUAGAUACAUUUUUUUUUAUUCAUUUCGAUGACAAGUAUUUUCGGACGGAGGGAGUACUAC